UGGGGAAUAUUGCACAAUGGGGGAAACCCUGAUGCAGCGACGCCGCGUGAGCGAAGAAGGCUUUCGAGUCGUAAAGCUCUGUCCUAUGAGAAGAUAAUGACGGUAUCAUAGGAGGAAGCCCUGGCUAAAUACGUGCCAGCAGCCGCGGUAAUACGUAUGGGGCGAGCGUUGUCCGGAAUUAUUGGGCGUAAAGGGUACGUAGGCGGUUUUUUAAGUCAGGUGUCAAAGCGUGGAGCUUAACUCCAUUAAGCACUUGAAACUGAAAGACUUGAGUGAAGGAGAGGAAAGUGGAGUUCCUAGUGUAGCGGUGAAAUGCGUAGAUAUUAGGAGGAAUACCGGUGGCGAAGGCGACUUUCUGGACUUUUACUGACGCUCAGGUACGAAAGCGUGGGGAGCAAACAGG
rnacentral:rRNA from 1 species